CAGCCGCCGCGGUAACACCAGCCCCUCGAGUGGUGGGGACUAUUAUUUGGCCUAAAGCGUCCGUAGCUGGCUGUAUCCGUCUCCCGGUAAAUCCGGCGUCCUAAGCGUCGGUUCUCGGGUGAUACCAUACAGCUAGAGGGUGGGAUAGGUGAGCGGUAUUUCUGGGGUAGGGGCGAAAUCCUUUGAUCCCAGGAGGACCACCAGUGGCGAAGGCUGCUCACUAUAACACGCCUGACGGUCAGGGACGAAAGCUGGGGCAGCGAACCGGAUUAGAUACCCGGGUAGUCCCAGCUGUAAACGAUGCUAGCUAGGUGUUGGGUCGGCCACGCGCCGCCCCAGUGCCGCAGGGAAGCCGUUAAGCUAGCCGCCUGGGGAGUACGAUCGCAAGAUUGAAACUUAAAGGAAUUGGCGGGGGAGCAC
rnacentral:rRNA from 1 species